GGGCCCGCACAAGCGGUGGAGCAUGUGGUUUAAUUCGAUGAUACGCGAGGAACCUUACCAGGUCUUGACAUCCUCUGCCAACCCUAGAGAUAGGGCGUUCCCCUUCGGGGGACAGAGUGACAGGUGGUGCAUGGUUGUCGUCAGCUCGUGUCGUGAGAUGUUGGGUUAAGUCCCGCAACGAGCGCAACCCUUGAUCUUAGUUGCCAGCAUUCAGUUGGGCACUCUAAGGUGACUGCCGGUGUCAAACCGGAGGAAGGUGGGGAUGACGUCAAGUCCUCAUGGCCUUUAUGUCUAGGGCUGCACACGUCCUACAAUGGUACGGACAAACGGACGCGAAACCGCGAGGUGGAGCAAAUCCUAGAAACCGUGCCUCAGUUCGGAUUGCAGGCUGCAACUCGCCUGCAUGAAGCCGGAAUCGCUAGUAA
rnacentral:rRNA from 1 species